rnacentral:lncRNA from 1 species
GCACCCUCGGGACUCAUCCUACACCCUCGGGAUGGUGCUGAGCACCCUCGGGACUCAUCCCGCACCCUCGGGACUUAUCCUGCACCCUCGGGACUUAUCCUGCAACCUCGGGACGGUGCUGAGCACUUUCGGGAUGGUGCUCAGCACCCUCAGGACGGUGCUCAGCACCCUCGGGAUGGUGCUCAGCACCUUCAGGACUCAUCCUGCACCCUCAGGACUCAUCCUGCACCCUCGGCACGGUGCUCAGCACCUUAGGGAUGGUGCUCAGCACCCUCGGGACUUAUCCUGCACCCUCGGGACUCAUCCUGCACCCUCGGGAUGGUGCUCAGAACACUCGGGAUGGUGCUCAGCACCCUUGGGACGAUACUCAGCACCUUUGGGACUCAUCCUGCAUCUUCGGGACUCAUCCUGUGACCCUGACUGUGCCAUCCCUUGUCCCCAGGUGACGUUUGACAACCGCGCCCACAGCGGGCGAGUGCGGAUCCGCCUGGACACCCACGUGGUCAUCCGGGAGUGCCACCACCCCUCGCUGCCUGGCACAGGUGACAGCGGGUGACAAUUUGCGGCGCCUGGCGUUUGACGUGUUGGUGACAGCCGUGUGCUCGCUGUCCCUGGCGCUCUGUGCACGUUCCAUCGCCCGUGGGCUGCUCCUGCAGCGGGUCAGUACCGGAACCGGAACCCGAUCUAGAACCGAGUCUAGAAUGCGCUCUAGAACCCGAUCGAGAACCGAGUCUAGAACCCGAUCUAGAACCGA